rnacentral:rRNA from 1 species
CUUAGUCUACAAAGAUUAAGCCAUGCAUGUAGUAAGUAUAAGUAUUAAACAACGAAACUGCGAAUGGCUCAUUAAACAGUUAUAGUUUAUUGAUAAUCGAAAGUUACAUGGAUAACCGUGACAAAUUACAGCUAAUACAUGCAUCAAGACCUCUAUGAGGUUGUAAUUAUUAGUAUUAAACCAAUUGCUUCGGCAAUGUGAUGAAUCAUAGUAAUCGAACGAAUCGCAGAAUUCUGCGAUAAAUCAUUCAAGUUUCUGCCCUAUCAGCUUUGGAUGGUAGUGUAUUGGACUACCAUGGCUAUCACGGGUAACGGAGAAUUAGGGUUCGAUUCCGGAGAGGGAGCCUGAGAAACGGCUACCACAUCUACGGAGGGCAGCAGGCGCGAAAAUUGCCCAAUCCUGAUUCAGGGAGGCAGU